AUUGAACGCUGGCGGCAUGCUUUACACAUGCAAGUCGAACGGUAACAGGCCUUCGGGUGCUGACGAGUGGCGAACGGGUGAGUAAUGCAUCGGAACGUGCCCAGAGGUGGGGGAUAACGCAGCGAAAGCUGUGCUAAUACCGCAUGUGAUCUGAGGAUGAAAGCGGGGGACCAGGCAGCAAUGUUUGGCCUCGCGCCUUUGGAGCGGCCGAUGUCAGAUUAGGUAGUUGGUGGGGUAAAGGCCUACCAAGCCGACGAUCUGUAGCAGGUCUGAGAGGACGACCAGCCACACUGGGACUGAGACACGGCCCAGACUCCUACGGGAGGCAGCAGUGGGGAAUGUUGGACAAUGGGCGCAAGCCUGAUCCAGCAAUGCCGCGUGCGGGAAGAAGGCCUUCGGGUUGUAAACCGCUUUUGUACGGAACGAAAAGGCUCUGGCUAAUACCUGGGGCUGAUGACGGUACCGUAAGAAUAAGCACCGGCUAACUACGUG
rnacentral:rRNA from 1 species